GGCGUCCACCUUUUAGCCGGACCACGCUGUUCUGUGCUAAUGUUAGUAAUCACUGCCCCGGUCUGGCGACGUGUUAUGGAAAAUUCUCCAAGGUGAACAAAUGUUUUACAAAUCUUCACACCCUGUUCAGAAACUCCUAAUACUUUAGAGGAUCGCGAAGCUUCUACCCGAGUUCCAGGAUUCUGCAGGCACUCCCUCCGCUUGUAGAUCACAAUUCAGUCCUAGAGCCUGCUACUGCACCUAAGCAGAAGAAGGGGCGUGUCAUUCUUUCAAGAAACCUGAGC
rnacentral:lncRNA from 1 species